UUCGAGUGGCGGACGGGUGAGUAACGCGUGGGUAACCUGCCUUACACAGGGGGAUAACACCUGGAAACAGGUGCUAAUACCGCAUAAGCGCACAGGGCCGCAUGGCCCGGUGUGAAAAACUCCGGUGGUGUAAGAUGGACCCGCGUCUGAUUAGCUUGUUGGCGGGGUAGGGGCCCACCAAGGCGACGAUCAGUAGCCGGCCUGAGAGGGUGGACGGCCACAUUGGGACUGUGACACGGCCCAAACUCCUACGGGAGGCAGCAG
rnacentral:rRNA from 1 species